rnacentral:rRNA from 1 species
AUUGAACGCUGGCGGCAUGCCUAACACAUGCAAGUCGAACGGCAGAACGGGUCUUUGCACUUGGUGCCGAGGGGCGCACGGGUGUGUAAUACAUGAGACCGUGUCCUGGUGUGGGGUAUCGCCCGGCAAAAGCCGCAUAUAUAGCGCACGCGCUCUACGGGUGAGAGCGGGGGCCCCUCACCUCUCGCUCUAAGAUGUUGCUCGAUGGCAGAUUAGCUAGUUGGUGGGGUAAAGGCCUACCAAGGCGACGAUCUGUAUCUGGUCUGAGAGGACGAACAGUCACACUGGGACUGAGACACGGCCCAGACUCCUACGGGAGGCAGCAGUGGGGAAUUUUGGACAAUGGGCGAAAGCCUGAUCCAGCCAUGCCGCGUGUGUGAAGAAGGUCUUCGGAUUGUAAAGCACUUUUGGUCGGAAAGAAAGCCUGUGAGCUAAUACGGUCGUGUGAUGACGGUACCGGAAGAAUAGGCACCGGCUAACUACGUG